CUCUCUGUUCCCAGCUGCCCUGGCCAGCUCUCCAGGCUGUCCAGCAGAAGAUUCCUGCCUUCCCUCGCAUCAUUCUGUGCGCCUGCUCAGCACGGAGGACUCUCCGGCAGGGCUGCCGACCCCAUGGCUUUCAUCCACGUUCUGCCCCCGGCUGCAGGACGCCUUUUCCCCUGGGCAGCUGCUGCAAAGACCUGACGAUGUGCUUCCAAGAUCCACAUGGCCUCCUCGCUGCCUUCUGCCUGCAUAAAGCUCUCAAAGGGAUUCUGCCAGCAAUGGUACCUGCUCAAAUUUCCAGCCGUCGGACAUCGUGGACACCAUCUGUGUGAGCUCCUCUUCUUGGCACUGCAGGACUCUGUACACGUGCUUCACAGGUCCCUACAGCACAGAGAGUGAAGAUAAGCUUGAGGGUACUGUUACUACUAAUAUCAAACUAGAAGAGCAUUAAGCCUCUCCUGCUCUUGUUGUUUGAAGGAGUCUGAGUCCCACAGGCUUUCUGAAGUUUCAUCUUUCUGAUUAUUCAAGCUGAAGUAGUUUGGAUUGUUCAGCUUGGAGACAAGAAGGCUUUGGGGAGACCUACUGGGGACAGAGUUUUUAGCAGGGCCUGUUGUGACAGGACAAGGGGUGAUGGUUUAAACUGAUGAAGAUCUUAAGGUCUUUUUCAACUGUAGUGAUUCUGUGGUGCUAUAAAAGAUGGAGAUUUAGAACAAAGAAUUUUUUUUUCACUGAGGGUGGUGAAAACCUGGCCCAGAUUAACCAGAGAGGUGGCAGAUGUCCUAUCUCUGGAACCAUUCCAGGCCAGGUUGGUUGGGGCUCUGAGCCACCUGCUCUAGUUGCAGAUGUCCCUGCUCAGUACAGGGGAGUUGGACUAAGUCACCUUUAAAGAUAACUUUAAACCAUUCCAACCCAAACCACUCUGUGGUUCUCCAGCUGAUUCUAAAGCCUAUGGUUAGCACACAAAACCCUUCAGCCUCCUAGGUGGCUAAAAGCCAAUGAAAGCAAAAUUUCUUUGGCUUUCAAAGCCAUUUACUGCUUUUUGAAAUCUUUUGUCUUCUGAAAUGCAAUCUGCUGGGUGUGUGAAUAUCAGCUGAGCAGCACUGGCUAUAAUUGCCAUGGAGAGCAAUAAAGGGAAGAAAAUGGUUUAGAGAAGGAAGAGUUUGAACUAUGCUUUACCUACCAAGUUGUAUGUUUUGCAACUACCCAUCUUUGCUCCUGGCUCCUCUGUUCUACUGUUCAUUGCCUUUCCUUGCAAUGCUAGCAGGAACGUUCAGUGCUCUGUGCUUACAAAACCAUACUGGAGACUUGUCCUAGCUCUGCCCUGAACCUAUCUACAAGCAGUAAUUCCCCCUGCUAAAGCUGACCAAAGAACUGCUGUGAGAAGUGUCUCCAGUCACACUUCUCCUCCUCCUGUGCUACAGAAAAUGACUUCCAAAGGCAAAUGUGCAUUACUUGGGAGGUUCUGUUCUCAUUGUCCCGGAUCCGCUCCUUCACCAGACGCACAAGAGAUGCAAUGUUGUAGAACUCAGCUUCUUCCAGUACCCCUGAGAAAGGAACCAAAAGGUAAAGACCAAUUCUUCUACUUUGUACAGGGUAGAAUGAAGAUGAUUCUGCUACAGGGAUGCAACAGCUGCUCCUGACUCCAAACCUCGCCCAGAUAUGAGAAAAUCCCCAAAUGCUGGAUAGAUGAAGCCGCUGCUGUCACGUUCCCAGGCUGGAAGAAAAUGACCAACUAGCUGUCACCUUUCUGUGACUCAGAGGAUGUUCAAAGAUUACUACCAUUUCCCUGGGAUGAUCAGGAAGCUCAUGGUACCAUCUCUGUCUUGUUCUCACAGCCUCGAAAGCCACCAAGAGUGGUAGAGAACUGAUAUUUGUGGAUGGAGAGAUGUGCUAACAGGCCUUUGAGCUCAGCAGACUGGUGCUGGGCUGUGUUUUAAGGAAAACACAGGGUCUAAUGCUCAUUAGAUUCAGUCAAUCUGAAAAGCUUCAGUAUUAAGCUCAACGUGAGCCACCAGUAUGCACCUGCAGCCCAGGGAACCAGUGGUAUCCUGGGCUGCAUCAAGAGAAGUGUGGGCAGCAGGGAGAGGGAGGGGAUUCUCCUCCUCUACACCACUCUCAUGAGACCUCGCCUGGAGUACUGUGUUCAUUUCUGGAGCCUCUAUUACAAGGAAGAUAUGGAGGUGCUGGAACAUGUCCAGAAAAAGGCCAUGAGGGUGAUCAGAGGGCUGGAGCUCCUCUCCUAUGAGGACAGAUGAGAGAGUUUGGGCUGCUGAGUCUGGAGAAGAGAAGGCUCCAAUGAGACCUUAUUGUGGCCUUACAGUAUCUGAAGGGAGCCUAUAAGAAAGCUGGGGAGUGACAUUUUAGGGUGUUGGGUAGUGAUAGGACUGGGUGGAAUGGAUUCAAGCUAGAGGAGGGGAGAUUUAGAUUAGAUAUUAGGAAGAAGUUCUUCACCAUGAGGGUGGUGAGACACUGGCACAGGUUGCCCAGGGAGGUAGUGGAAGCCUCAUCCCUGAAGUUUUUAAGGCAGGCUGGAUGUGGCUCUGGGCAACCUGAUCUAGUGUGAGGUGUCCUUGCCCAUGGCAGGAGGGGUUGGAACUAGAAGAUCCUUGAGGACCCUUCCAACCCUGACAAUUCUGUGGUUCUGUCAGUGGGAGCACUACUGGGGAAUGUGGCUUGCUCACACCCUCACACAUUGCCAUGGCUGGAGCCCUGGGCACUUGGGCAAGUCUCUAAUGAGGGCUCUGUGAUCUUGCUCCCAAACAGUUAAGUUUGCAGUUCUUCCCCUCUAUUCUUCUCUUACCUUCUUCUGCAAGCUCCUUGUUUAUGAUGAGUUUCCCAUGUCGGAGGUAGUUCAGUAUUGGACCAAAAUAGGUGGGGUCUCUGUCGAUGAGAUAUGCCCCGGUCUCAUCCUGGGGAGUGACACAGGGGGGUGAAUAAUUUCAGUGGAAAACUAUAAACUGGAGAGUUUCUCUUUAAGAACCUGUAUUCACUUGUGCCUGUGAACUCCACAUUUAAACCAGUAUCUGAACUCAGCUGUACUGGCAGAUGGUUUGAAUGAAGGAUUUCUAUGAAAGGAGUUUAGAUGCCCAGAGAGGAAGUAAAGGUUAGGAGUUUUUCUUCACUGCAGUAAUAAACCCCAAACACUGGCA